rnacentral:rRNA from 1 species
CUACGGUGAAUACGUUCCCGGACCUUGUACACACCGCCCGUCAAGCCAUGGAAGCUGGGUGUACCUAAAGUCGGUAACCGUAAGGAGCCGCCUAGGGUAAAACUAGUAACUGGGGGCU